GUAACGCUGUGACUAGCAUAUCAAUAAGCGGAGGAAAAGAAACUAACAAGGAUUCCCCUAGUAACGGCGAGUGAAGCGGGAAGAGCUCAAAUUUGAAAUCUUAAAGGGUUUCCCUUUACGAGUUGUAGUUUAAAGAAGUGUUUUCUGUUGAGGUUUUGGUAAAAGUUCUUUGGAAUAGGACAUCAUAGAGGGUGAGAAUCCCGUAUUUGACCUUUACUUUCAACUUUGUGAUACACUUUCAAAGAGUCGGAUUGUUUGGGAAUGCAGUCCAAAAUGGGUGGUAAAUUUCAUCUAAAGCUAAAUAUUGGCGAGAGACCGAUAGCGAACAAGUACCGUGAGGGAAAGAUGAAAGGAACUUUGAAAAGAGAGUUAAACAGUACGUGAAAUUGUCAAAAGGGAAGCGUUUGACACCAGUGUUGUUUUUCUGAAAAUCAAUUAAAGAACUGUUUAUGCUAAGCUGUUUAGACUUUAUCAGCUAUCUGUUUAGUUUUGAGCUUUUCUUUAAUGCACUUUUCAGUUAACAAGUCAACAUCAAUUUCUUUUGCUGUAAAAAAGCUUGAGGAAGGUGGCUUGAGAUUCGUCUUAAGUGUUUAUAGCCUCUUGCCUAUGCAGUCGGAGAGAUUGAGGUCUGCAGCGUAGAUCCUUCGGGGCUAAAUGCAUUUGUGCUAAGUUAUAGCAUUUUAUAGACAACUUGUUGACUAUGAUUUGUCUUGUAGCUUACUCGCUUAUGUUAUUUUACCUACGCUUAGGAUGUUGACGCGCGUGUGUGCGUG
rnacentral:rRNA from 1 species